AUAUUUUGAGAAGAAGAAGCAAGCCGCUGUGAAGGAACAGAAAAAUGUUGAUGCCUCACAAAAAGCAUUUAAAUCAGCAGAGAAGAAGACAAAGGAAACUUUAAAGGAUGUAGCUACAGCCGCUUCCAUAAAUAAAGUCAGGAAAACUCACUGGUUUGAGAAGUUUUUAUGGUUUAUAAGUUCGGAGAACUUUCUAGUGAUCGGUGGUCGAGAUCAGCAGCAGAAUGAACUGAUUGUUAAAAGAUACUUAAGACAAGG